GACCCCGCUCCACCCUCCGUACCACGUGGGCCAGGCGCCCCGCAGCCUGAUCCCUCGGCUGAGGCGGGGUCAGAGGGCUAAGGGUGACUGACUGCCCAGUGCAUGGAUCUCAGCAGCACGGCUUGACUUUCGGGCGGCAGGCAAGGAUGCUAAUCCACAAGGUUCCUGAGUCCAACAUCCCUCCCUCCAAUGUGGAGCUCGAAUCCGCUAUUGCAACCAAACGCGGGUUCUGCCCGCAGGGUGGCGCAAUGACAAGAGCCACCAGAUGACCCUGGUAACUCCCGCACCUAGACCUACAGGAGCAGUUUUUCUGCAGCACCACAUCUGUAGCCCUGCAUGCCGCUGGCUCCAGUGUUGUGUGUGUGGUCAUGCUCCAUCCAGCCCAGCAGCAACUUUGGUGUUUGACACCCCUCGGGAGGCACCGCUUUGGAAGAGACUGGUAACAGCAGGGUGGGACCGGCUACUUAGCUGUUCUCAGUCUGAAAGGAUUCUGGAAAGGGGCUCUAUUUAACCCAAGCACUGGAGUCCAACACAGCCUCUGCCGUGUGACAGGUGUGUGCGGAGCCCAAGAUGUGUUGGGAACAGCUAUUGUUUCUACUGCUUUGUCCCAUGCCUCUGGAGCUCCUGGGUUCCUGAACUUCAAGCUGGGCCCCAUCCUUCACCCUAUCAGGGCCCUGGGUGGAGCUGACUUCCAACAGUAUACAGUGGGUCUUGGUACUUCCUCCUUGGCAUUCGACAGUUGGUGUUUUUGAAGUCAGAGCCAUCCUCAGUAGGCUCCUAGGGGAUCGUAAGCGGCUUUCUCUGGGUGGAAACCGACUCCAUGCAGCCUUCAGCAAAGGUACCAGCAUCUGUCACUGGGAUGGGGAAGUCCGGUGAUCGUGUCAGCAUGGGCUACGGUGGACGGGGAAAGGCUCGUUCUGAUACUAGACACCUGGGUCUCUAGCCCUAUGCCUGGAUUUGUCUGGGGAACUCUGCACCACACUGAUCCUGGCUUUCCCCAUUACCUGCUCCAUGCCAGGAUCCUACGGCUGUUGAUCCCCUCGGAAGUGAGACAUAAUGUCCCGGAGCAGAUGCUGAUGGGGACUCACUGUUGGGCCACCUGAUUUCUGUGUUCAUCUUCCCAGGCUCCACCUUUCAGAUCCCAUCCCUGGUGUCUGCAGUUACAACUUUACUAACCAGAACUUUGUUUCCAGCUUACGCUGAAAAGCAAAGGGUGACUUAGAAUAAAAAUGUAACAAAUAGCCCCAUAGCCCAAACCUUUUCUGCCAUGAUUUACUGUACCAGAUACCUAUAAGUGUCCAGGGCAAAUUAAACACAUCAAUAAAUGGCUUUCUUGUGUCUGUCCUGCA
ensembl:processed_transcript 2810468N07Rik RIKEN cDNA 2810468N07 gene